rnacentral:rRNA from 1 species
GUGGGGAAUCUUGCGCAAUGGGCGAAAGCCUGACGCAGCCAUGCCGCGUGAAUGAUGAAGGUCUUAGGAUUGUAAAAUUCUUUCACCGGGGACGAUAAUGACGGUACCCGGAGAAGAAGCCCCGGCUAACUUCGUGCCAGCAGCCGCGGUAAUACGAAGGGGGCGAGCGUUAUUCGGAAUCACUGGGCGUAAAGCGUGCGUAGGCUGUUUUGUAAGUCAGAAGUGAAAGCCCAGGGCUUAACCCUGGAAUUGCUUUUGAAACUACAAGACUCGAAUUCGGGAGAGGAUAGCGGAAUUGUCAGUGUAGCAGUGAAAUGCGUAGAUAUUGACAGGAACACCAGUGGCGCAAGCGGCUAUCUGGACCGAUAUUGACGCUGAGGCACGAAAGCGUGGGGAGCAAACAGGAUUAGAAACCCGGGUAGUCC